GGGCAGCGCGCCCGGGGUUGGGGCGGCGCUCGGAGCUGCCCCGUCCGCCCGCUGCGCUCCGGGCUGUCGCUACGGCUCUGCGGCUCGGAGUGUCGCGGAAGGCGCACGGCACAGCAAGUUUUAUCAGCUGUUGUUUCUGCACGUCCUGAGCAAUAACGGCGCUGUUGGGCCCCUCCCUACACUGGGGUGACGGAGCUGUGCGGGACUGCUAUGGGGAGCGGCUGGGGGAGCUGGGAUGGGACAGUGUGGAGGAGAGGGGCUGAGGGCAGAGCUGUGAUGAGCUGUGGGUCGGACUCUGCUCCCGGGAACAGCGGCAGGACGAGGGGGUGGCCCCACGGUGCGACAGGGGAGGGCCGGGUUUUUAACGUGAGAACAGCAUUUUCUCCCUUGAAUGUAAUAAUCGGUACUGUUCUUUGCGUUCUGCCUAUUUAAAUAAGUGAACCGGGUUUUGUUUACACAGUGCAGCUAAGAAAAUGGGAUUGGUGUAUGAAAUCUCAAGUUCUAUAAAGUCACUUUUGGCUGUACUAUUACUUCGCCGAUGCUUGUGAAGAACACACAGUUUGGAAACUACUUACUUCUGUGAUUAUUUUGGAUCGAGUCAAGGCAAAGUACCGAUACAGACACAUCCAGUUUCCAAACAGAAUCAUUCAGAAGCUUUCAAGGAUCACCUGCAGAUUCCCUCCCACGGCAACAGAAGACCAAAGCCCCACAUCUGGGACACGGCUGUUCAAACUGCACACAUGGUCCCAAAUGGCAAUGGUGACUGAUUUGGAAAUGUCAGCUGCAUUAGAAAAACCCCUUCUGACUUGCAAAGUGCAGAGCUGAGUGGUACCUGCUUGAACAGAAUUAAUAUUACGUAGUCCUCUCCCUCCACAAAUAAUUUCCUGAAUAAGAAAAUGUUCAGUCUGCUCCAACGUGUCACCUCAUUCACAGUGAGAAGUGUUUUCUUGUGUUCAUGUUUACUCUUAGUAAAUAGAUUCAGCAAUCACAAACCUUUCACACCUCCGGCCCCUUUCUUCUCACACCUUGCUGAGUGCUGCUACAGAAACACUGACUGUGCUUACAGCUGUGUCCUUUCUUUCAUUUGUCCUUGGUCCAAAGCUAACUGGUACCUUUAGGCUUUCAACAGAUGCCCUAAUCUCACUGUUUUCCUAGACAGACAUAUCAGUAGUUCCACAUCUGCUGUAUUUGAUUCCAUGUUAAACUCCUCCUUUUUGUUUUAUUUUGUGUGUACAGCUCUUAAUGACAUUGAAUCAAGAAAUCUAGUAACCUGUCAUAGCCCUUUCCCACUGCUGUUACACCAAGAGUUGCCACAUCUUAAGGCAAAUUUCUGUCUUAUUUGAAUCAUAGAAUCAUAGAAUGGCCUGGCUUGAAAAGGACCACAAUUACGAUCUUGUUCCAACCCCCUGCUAUGUGCAGGGUCGCCAACCAGCAGACCAGGCUGCCCAGAGCCACAUCCAGCCUCGCCUUGAAUGCCUCUAGGGAUGGGGCAUCCACAACCUGAACUUAUCUGAGAAUAUUUGCUCUUAGUUUCAUAGUGUUCACACUACAAAAUCUCUUAAUCUCUCCAAUCUAUACAUUCUGUGAUACUUUCAGGUUUGUUUUUUUUUUUUUUUUUUUUUUUUAGUCUUUUUAAUCUUGUGUCAUGCAUCCCAAAGUCCAGAUAUAACGUCAGGCCAUAUCUUUGCUUAUCAUUAAAUAUUUUAUUCAGACUCUGUUAUGACAUCCAGUCUUACCACUUUCAGUGUCCUGUGCCUGGCUCCUAUUUUAAAACUAUUUAGUCUUAUUGUACAGUGUACAUACACCAAUAAAGGCUAUUUCUAUACAGAAA